UGGGGAAUAUUGCGCAAUGGGGGAAACCCUGACGCAGCGACGCCGCGUGAGCGAUGAAGGCCUUAGGGUUGUAAAGCUCUGUUUUAAGGGACGAAUGUUACGGGGAGUAAUAUUCCCUGUAAAUGACGGUACCUUAAGAGGAAGCCCCGGCUAACUACGUGCCAGCAGCCGCUGUAAGACGUAGGGUCCUUGCGUUUUCCGUAAUUAUUUGGAGUAAAGAGCACGUAGGCGGGACUUUAAUUCAGGUGUGAAAGGCCGGGGCUCAACCGCGGGGUGGCACUUGAAACUGGGGUUCUUGAGGGGAGGAGAGGAAAGUAGAAAUCCUGGUGUAGCGGUGAAAAGGGUAGAAAUCAGGAGGAAAACCAGUGGCGAAGGGGACGUUCUGGAAUGAAACUGACGCUGAGGUGCGAAAGAGGGGGUAGCAAAAAG
rnacentral:rRNA from 1 species